rnacentral:rRNA from 1 species
CCUACGGGAGGCAGCAGUGGGGAAUAUUGGACAAUGGGCGCAAGCCUGAUCCAGCCAUGCCGCGUGGAUGAUGAAGGCCCUAGGGUUGUAAAGUCCUUUCGGCGGGGAAGAUAAUGACGGUACCCGCAGAAGAAGCCCCGGCUAACUUCGUGCCAGCAGCCGCGGUAAU